GAGAUACUCCCUUCAUCCGGAAAUAUUUGUCGUGGAAAUAGAUACAAAUGGAUAUAUGUAAAACUAAAAUACAUAUAGAUAUAUCAAUUUUUGGACAAGUAUUUUCGGACGGAGGGAGUACCAA
rfam:Triticum aestivum genome assembly, contig: Triticum_aestivum_CS42_TGACv1_scaffold_473795_6AL